GAUGAAGAACGUAGCGAAAUGCGAUACGUAAUGUGAAUUGCAGAAUUCAGUGAAUCAUCGAAUCUUUGAACGCAUAUUGCGCUCUCUGGUAUUCCGGAGAGCAUGCUUGUUUGAGUAUCAGUAAACACCUCAACUUCCAUAUCUUUUUUUGAAAUGGGAGUUGGACUUGAGUGAUCCCAACGCUUUUCCUCACCGAAAAGUGGCGGGUUACUUGAAAUGCAGGUGCAGCUGGACUUUUCUCUGAGCUAUAAGCAUAUCUAUUUAGUCUGCCUAAAAAACAGAUUAUUACCUGUGCUGCAGCUAACAUAAAGGAGAUUAGUUCUUGUGCUGACUGAUGCAGGAUUCACAAAGACAGCUUCGGCCGACUUUGUAAACUCGAUCUCAAAUCAAGUAAGACUACCCGCUGAACUUAAGCAUAUCAAUAAGCGGAGGA
rnacentral:misc_RNA from 1 species